AGUGAACGCUGGCGGUAGGCCUAACACAUGCAAGUCGAACGGCAGCACAGUAAGAGCUUGCUCUUACGGGUGGCGAGUGGCGGACGGGUGAGGAAUACAUCGGAAUCUACUUUUUCGUGGGGGAUAACGUAGGGAAACUUACGCUAAUACCGCAUACGACCUACGGGUUAAAGCAGUGGUUCUUCGGACCUUGCGCGAUUGUAUGAGCCGAUGUCGGAUUAGCUAGUUGGCGGGGUAAAGGCCCACCAAGGCGACGAUCCGUAGCUGGUCUGAGAGGAUGAUCAGCCACACUGGAACUGAGACACGGUCCAGACUCCUACGGGAGGCAGCAGUGGGGAAUAUUGGACAAUGGGCGCAAGCCUGAUCCAGCCAUACCGCGUGGGUGAAGAAGGUCUUCGGGUUGUAAAGCCCUUUUGUUGGGAAAGAAAAGCAGCAGGUUAAUACCCCGCUGUUCUGACGGUACCCAAAGAAUAAGCACCGGCUAACUUCGUG
rnacentral:rRNA from 1 species